rnacentral:lncRNA from 1 species
CUCUGCGCAGACGCCACGUACCCAGCACGCAUGCGCCCGGCCUGCGGUCUCCAGCCGCCGGCCUCGGAUUGGUGGAGCCUCGGUGGCCCCGCCCCGCGUGCCGGAAGCUCUGUCCCGGCGCCGACGUCUCCGGAGAUUCCCGGGCGUGUGCGCUUCUCGGCUUCCUCAUCUGGAAGAUGGAGAUAAGCCACAUACCUGACUUGGGGUCAUCGCAAGGAUGGAGAUGACAUAAAUGUGUGUGGCACGUACAGUUCAAUAAAUGUACAUUGCCUUCUCCUGUUAAGAGGUAAGGGAGGGAAUAAGUCCGGGGAACUGGGUGCAUCGUGACGCUUAAGACAUUGCAACCACCAGUUAUAAUUGUAGAGAAGAGUCUCAGGUGAGCUGUGCACAGGAAGUGUUUUUAAUAUUUCCUAAUGGGGCUCAGUCAGCAAAAUCCAAAAGCAGGGAAGUUCUAUACAUUCACUGGAGGAGCAGGUCAGGAGCUGUCUUUGGGCUGAUGGCAGUGUAACUGAGUCGGUCCUGUAGCAGGAGGGCCUUGUGCUAGUAUGUGUAUAGAGCAGUGGCAGCAGCUCUGCUUUAAAUCAGAGUCACUUGGGCAGCUGAGAAAAUAGCCAGGCCUACCCUCAGGGAUUCCCAUCCAUUCUUUCUGGGACAAGGCCCUGGCAUUGUUUUUGUUUUUGCUGUUUAAUUUCUCCAGAUGAUUGAGGUUUAUGGUCAGGCCUGAUGCCACUCGUGGUGAGAAUUAGGCUUAGCUCAGGGAGUUUCUGACAAAAGACACAGAACUGUGAAAUGGUCAGUGCCUUUCUGUGGUUCAGUGAGGUCAUGAGGAAGGCUGAAAGGGGCUUUUUUUUUUUUUUUUUGUAAAAGAUUUUAUUUAUUUAUUCAUGAGAGACACACAGAAAAAGGCAGAGACAGGCAGAGGGAGAAGCAGGCUCCCCGUGGGGAGUCCAGUGUGAAACUUGAUCCCAGGAUCCCGGGAUCAUGCCCUGAGCUGAAGGCAGACGCUCAACCACUGAGCCACCCAGGUACCCCUGGAAGGAGUUUUUAUUACCCAGCCAAGGACCUUGGAGCACCAUCCUGAGACCAGAGAGGAACCUUUGAGGGGCUUUAAGUAGGAAAAUGAGGGAAUGGCUUGAUGAGAUCUGUACUAGAGGAUGAUCCCUCUAACAAAGUGCCAUGAAUCAGAAUGAAUGCAGUGAAGAAGCCUUUAGAGCCGGCCCCCAGAUGGUCGGAAACCCAGAUUCGAGUCCAGUAUUCCUGCUAUGAAUGUCCUCUAGCGGCCCCGUCUAUCCUUUGGAGAUACCCUGUGUUAUAAGUGGCCAGUUUCUUGUCUGUAUUCCUUCCACUGGGCUGUCCGCUUCCUCAAAGCAGAGAAUGUCUUUUUUUUAAUUUUUUUAAAAGAUUUUAUUUAUUUAUUCAUAGAGACACACACAGAGAGAGAGAGAGAGAGAGAGAGAAGCCGGCUCCAUGCAGAGAGCCUGACGUGGGACUCGAUCCAGGAUCAGGCCCUGGGCUGCAGGCCGCGCUAAACCGCUGCACCACCGGGGCUGCCCGAGAAUAUCUCUAGGCUCAGCAUCUAGUAUGUACUAGAUACGUAAUAAAUAUUUAUUGAAUGAACUCUGUAGAGCUGUCAACUGGAUACACAGCUUACUUAUCUUCUUAGGGCAAUUCUCAAAAUUUUGCGUCUCAGCUGCUUUCACAGUAUUCCCUCCUAACGGCAAUAAAUGCUUCAUAUCCACAUCAUUGUCCCAUAGGGGGAAUAGAAAGUUUGACAGGAUUUUGGGCAGCCCGAGUGGCUCAGCGGUUUAGUGCCGGCUUCGGCCCAGGGUGUGAUCCUGGAGACCCAGGAUCGAGUCCCACCCACAUCGGGCUCCCUGCAGGGAGCCUGCUUCUCCCUCUGCAUGUGUCUCUGUCUCUGUCUCUCUCUCUUUGUAUCUCUCGUGGAUAAAUAAAUAAAAUCUUAAAAAAAAAAAAGUUUGACAGGAUUUAAAUGCUGUUAAAAAUAAUGGAGAAGAAUGGAAAACAGUAUGGCAGUUCCUCAAAAAAUUGCAAGUAGAAUUACCAUAUGACCCAGCAAUCCCACUUCUGGGUAUUUACCCAAAAACAUUGAGAGCAGGGUCCCAAAGAGAUACAUGUAUACCCAUGUUCAUAGCAUUAUUCACAAUGGCCAAAGGGUGGAAGCAACUCAAGUGUUUAUCAGUGGAUGAAUGGCUAAGUAACAUGUGGUCUAUAUAUCCAAUGGAAUAUUAAUAACAUUCUUACUAAUGUUAAUUUAUUAUUAUUUAUAUUUCUUUAAUUCAUUGAUUUAUUAUUAAUGUUAAUAUUCCAUUGCAUGUAUAGACCACUUGUUCCAGGACACCUGCUACAACACAGGUGAACUUUGAGAACAUUAUACUAAGUGAAAUAAGCCAGUCACAAAAAGCCAAAUACUGUUUGAUUCCACUUACAUGCAGUAGGUAGUCAAAAUCAUGGAGACGGAAAGUAGCUUGAUGGUUGCCAGGAGCUAUGGGGGAGAAAGGAACAGGGAGUUGUUGUUUAAUGGGUACAAAGUUUGUUUUGCAAGAGAAUAAGUGUUCUGGAGGCUGGUUGCACAACAACAUGAAUGUACUUAACAAUUGAACCAUAUGCUUAAAAAUGGCUAAGAUGACAAGGCCUUUUUUUUUUUUUUAAGAUUUUAUUUAUUUAUUCAGACACAGAGAGAGAGGCAGAAACACAGAGGGAGAAGUAGGCUCCCUAUGGGGAGCCCUAUGUGGGACUUGAUCCUGGGUCUCCAGGAUCAUACCCUGGGCCGAAGGCAGGCGCUAAACUGCUGAGCCACCCGGGGAUCCCUAAGAUGACAAGUCUAUGGCAUGUGUAUUUUACCACAAUUAGAAAUGGAAAAGAAAGAAAUACGGAAGAGAGGUAAAUAAAAGGACGUGUGAAAUAAAGAGCAGAGUGCUCAUGCAUGAAUCCAUUAACGUCUAUAGAUUUAUAGAAAGGAAAAAAAAAGUUUUGCUGGUAAAACAAACUGCUGUUCUCAUCGCACUGAAGCCCUGAAGCUAUUCCCCUUCAGAAUCUCCUUGAGACUCUGACCGUUUGUUGAGAAAUUCUGACCUGAGUUAAAUAUUGCCUAACCUCUUUGUGGGCACUCUAGACCUCUCUCUGAUUAACCACCUUGUCAACAUCCAGCAAACGUCAAUCCUGAUUUCUUCAGUAGUGAUGCCUAUGGAAUGAAUAUGGAAUGCAGGCAAGAUGAGUAUUUCAUGUUCAAGAGGAGAUUCAACUGGCUUAGACUCAGCAAUUGGAGUUACGAUAGGAAAUUGUGAAUGCUAAUCUGAAGGCAAAGCCGCAGGUCACGUAACACCUAUAUGAUAUUCUGAUUCCAGAGGGAAGGUGGAAGACUGAUCCAUCUACUGUGCCAUUUUCCAAUAGGCAAACAUUUGUAAGUAUGUGGAAUUGGUCAUGAAAUUAUAUUGAAUGAAUCACUUUUCUGGUUAUGAAAAUAAUAUAUACUCAUCAUAGAAAAUCCAGGAAGGAAUAAAAACAAAACUCAUCUAAAAAUUUUACCAUUCAGAAAAUGUCACUACCUAAAAUUUUGUGUAUCUGUUUUUAACCUUUUCUCUUCAUAUGUGAUUCUUAAAUAAAAUUUGGAUCAGACUCUAUAUGCUGUAUUUAUUUAUUUAUUUAUUUAUUUAUUUAUUUAUUUUUUUAUUUAUUUAUUUAUUUAUUAGAUUUUAUUUAUUUAACAGAGAGCAUGCAAGCAGGGGGAGCAGUAGGGAGAGGUAGAAACAGGCUACCCGAGGAGCAGAGACCCCGGUGCAGGGCUCAAUCCCAGGACCCCAGAAUCCUAACCUGAACCAAGGGCAGAUGCUUAACCCACAGAGCCACACAGGUGCCCUAUAUAUGCUGUUUUUAAAUGACAGCUUUAUUCAGAUAUAAUUUAUACACCGUACAGUUCACGUCCUUAAAGUGUACACUUCAGUGAUUUUUAGUAUAUUUACAGUUGUGCAGUUCACCACCACAGUCAACUUUAGAGAAGGUUGCUUACUUUCUUCAAAAACUCUGCACUUGUUGACAGCCACCCCCUUUCAUUCCACCCCACUGCCCCCCUCAUCCCUCUGCCCCAGUCCUAGUCAACUACCAGUCUAUUUUCCAUCUCUAUAGAUUUGCCAAUUCUGGACAUUUCAUAUAAAUGGAAUCAUACAAUAUGUGGUCUUCUGUGUUUUUGACAUAGUGUUUUCGAGGUUCAUCCAUGUUGUAGUAUAUAUCAGAAUUUCUUUUUUUUUUUUUUGGCCAAAUAUCAUUCUAUUGUAUGGAUAGGCUACAUGUUUAUCUAUCAGUUGACAGACAUUCAGGUUGUUUCUACUUUUUGGCUAUUAAGAAUAAUGCUGCUGUGCACAUUUGUGUGCAAGUUUAGCCAUUUGGGACCUUGCAGUUGCUUCAAAGUUUGAAGAAAAUUCUUACAUGUACAGCUUCCACAUCUUUUGUUUCCCUAAUGUAAACUUACAGAAGUAGAAUUGCUGACUAAAAGAACAUUGCAUUUUACAGAACUUGUCAUAUGGUUUCUAAGAAGGCUGCAUUAAAAAAUAAAAAAUAAGAAGGCUGCAUUGAUCUUCUCUGUGCUCCCUUCGGUGUUAUUAGCCUAUGUGCUUAGUGAUGGGCUUUUUUUUUUUUAAGAUUUUAUUUAUUUAUGUAUUUAGAGAGAGUGCAUGUGCAAGCGGCAAAGGGGGAGGGAGAGGGAGUCCAGCAGACUCCCUCACUAAGGGCAGAGCCUAAGAUGGGCUCUAUCCCAUGACCCUGAGACCAUGCAUGACCUGAGCCAAAACCAAGAGUCAGAUGCCCAACCGACUGAGCCACCCAGGGGACCCAGUGAUGGGCAUUUAAUAUCAAGUGCUAUAAAAUGGAAGCCCAUGAGUUUUUGAAAAGACACGGUCCAUGGCAUCAAGAUGCAUAUGUCCAUUUUUAGACCAGAUGAGCAGAUGUAGGUACAAGGGUAUUAGGUAGCAAGGUUAUGUACAUUAUGAGGAGAGAAAAAUAGAAUGGUUAGAUAAACACCUGCCUGGGAUGAGAUUCACACAGAUAUAAUCAUCAAACAACUUUUUACACCUAGAAGCUAAACAAAAAAGUUAAUGGAACCAAACUGGCCUACGACU